rnacentral:rRNA from 1 species
CCUACGGGUAUUCCCUAGUAACGGCGAGUGAAGCGGGAAGAGCUCAAAUUUGAAAUCUGGUGGCCUCAGGUCAUCCGAGUUGUAAUCUAUAGAAGUGUUUUCCGUGCUGGCUCAUGUACAAGUCCCUUGGAACAGGGCGUCAUAGAGGGUGAGAAUCCCGUCCUUGACAUGAACUACCAGUGCUCUGUGAUACAUUUUCAACGAGUCGAGUUGUUUGGGAAUGCAGCUCAAAAUGGGUGGUAAAUUCCAUCUAAAGCUAAAUAUUGGCGAGAGACCGAUAGCGAACAAGUACCGUGAGGGAAAGAUGAAAAGCACUUUGGAAAGAGAGUUAAACAGUAUGUGAAAUUGUUGAAAGGGAAACGAUUGAAGUCAGUCGUGCUCUUUGGAUUCAGCCGGUUCUGCCGGUGUACUUCCUUUGAGUGGGGUCAACAUCAGUUUUGAUCGCUGGAUAAAGGCUGGAGGAACGUAGUACCCUCGGGUAAACUUAUAGCCUCCUGUCACAUACAGUGGUUGGGACUGAGGAACGCAGCACGCCUUUAUGGCCGGGAUUCGUCCACGUACGUGCUUAGGAUGUUGACAUAAUGGCUUUAAACGACCCGUCUUGAAACACGGACCAA